rnacentral:rRNA from 1 species
GAUGAACGCUAGCGGCAGGCUUAAUACAUGCAAGUCGAGGGGCAGCAUGAGUAGCAAUACUUGAUGGCGACCGGCAAACGGGUGCGGAACACGUACACAACCUUCCUUUAAGCGGGGAAUAGCCCAGGGAAACUUGGAUUAAUAACCCAUAGAAUAUGGAAAAGGCAUUUUUUCAAUAUUAAAGAUUUAUCACCUAAAGAAGGUUGUUCGGCUGAUUAGGUAGUUGGAAGGGUAACGGCCUACCAAGCCUACGAUCAGUAGCUGAUGUGAGAGCAUGAUCAGCCACACGGGAACUGAGACACGGGCCCGACUCCUACGGGAGGCAGCAGUAAGGAAUAUUGGUCAAUGGACGAAAGUCUGAACCAGCCAUGCCGCGUGAAGGAUGAAGGUCCUCUGGAUUGUAAACUUCUUUUAUAUGGGACGAAAAAAGGUCAUUCUUGAUCACUUGACGGUACCAUUUGAAUAAGCACCGGCUAACUCCGUGCCAGCAGCCGCCGUAA